GCACGUUGCGCGGGAGCGGCCGCAUUCAAGACGCUGCCGCCAAGAAUUCGCGGGAGAACGUCGUCGACCGCCAACCCACGAAGGACUGCGACCUCAAGGCCUUGCUCCUUCAGCUGUAGCGCGACGUGAGCCCUGCCAUUUCACUUUCAAGAUACGUAAGCUGCUUCGACCCUGAAAAUGCCGACGCAAUGGUGCAUCUGAACAGCCAAUGGAUACCAUGCCCACUCUUUAACGACCAGUGCUUUUAAUGAAACCGCACAGCGGAAUAAAGUCAACCACGUGAGGCACCUCAGACAGCAUAUGCAGUGGGUUGUGAUGGAUUUAAUGAUUUCAUCAGCAUUUUCACUGGGUACAAGGCUGUGAAUCUCUUGUAUGAUGCAUGUGUGGAAAAGAAACCCAACAUCUGGUGCACAUGCUUGCUUGAAACAGUCGGGCAUAUCCCAUUAGUUGAGUGCCCCCGUGUCGGCAUUUGCUGAUGUGAUCCCAGCUAUC